rnacentral:misc_RNA from 1 species
GGUCUAAUGGACAAAGUCAUGGCUGUGGAGUUCAUACUUGUGAGGAUGGGAGCAGGUAUGUAGGUGAAUUCAAGUGGGGAGUUAAGCAUGGCCUUGGACAUUACCACUUCAGGAAUGGAGAUAAUUAUGCUGGGGAAUAUUUUGCUGAUAAGAUGCAUGGUUUCGGAGUAUAUGUUUUUGCAAAUGGUCAUCGGUAUGAAGGAG